rnacentral:rRNA from 1 species
UACGUAGGGUGCGAGCGUUGUCCGGAAUUAUUGGGCGUAAAGAGCUCGUAGGCGGCUCGUUGCGUCGGCUGUGAAAACCCGCAGCUCAACUGUGGGCUUGCAGCUGAUACGGGCGGGCUGGGAUUCGGUAGGGGAGAGUGGAAUUCCUGGUGUAGCGGUGAAAUGCGCAGAUAUCAGGAGGAACACCAGUGGCGAAGGCGGGUCUCUGGGCCGAUAUCGACGCUGAGGAGCGAAAGCGUGGGGAGCGAACAGG